rnacentral:rRNA from 1 species
CAGCCGCCGCGGUAAUACAGAGGUGGCAAGCGUUGUUCGGAAUUAUUGGGCGUAAAGAGCACGUAGGUGGAUUUGUAAGUCAGAUGUGAAAGCCUUCUGUUCAACGGAAGAAUUGCAUCUGAAACUGCGAGUCUUGAGUGUAGGAGGGGAGAAUGGAACUUCUGGUGGAGCGGUGAAAUGCGUAGAUAUCAGAAGGAACGCCGGCGGCGAAAGCGAUUCUCUGGCCUAUUACUGACACUCAGUGUGCGAAAGCUAGGGGAGCAAACGGGAUUAGAUACCCCGGUAGUCCUAGCUGUAAGCGAUGGGCACUAAGUAGAGGGGAUUACCGAUGUUCUCUCUGCCGUAGCUAACGCAUUAAGUGCCCCGCCUGGGGAGUACGGCCGCAAGGCUAAAACUCAAAAGAAUUGACGGGGGCUCGCACAAGCGGUGGAGCAUGUGGUUUAAUUCGAUGCAACGCGGAGAACCUUACCGGGGCUUGACAUGGUAGAAGUAGGAACCCGAAAGGGUAACGAACGGUAUCCAGUCCGUAGCUAUUACAGGUGUUGCAUGGCUGUCGUCAGCUCGUGUCGUGAGACGUUGGGUUAAGUCCCCUAACGAGCGAAACCCUUGUUUUUAGUUGCCAGCGGGUUGUGCCGGGCACCCUAGAAAGACUGCCGUCGUUAAGACGGAGGAAGGUGGGGAUGACGUCAAGUCAUCAUGGCCCUUAUGCCCCGGACUACACACGUGCUACAAUGGCCGGUACAAACGGAAGCGAAGCCGAGAGGUGAAGCGAAUCCUAAAAAGCCGGUCUCAGUUCGGAUUGGAGGCUGAAAUUCGCCUCCAUGAAGUUGGAAUCGCUAGUAAUCGCGGAUCAGCUCGCCGCGGUGAAUAUGUUCCCGAGCCUUGUACACACCGCCCGUCAAGCCACCCAAGCAGGAUGCACCCGAAAACAUUAUAUCUAACCAGGGCAACUUGGAGGAAAAUGUUGAAGGAGUGUUUUGUGAGGAGGACUAAGUCGUAACAAGGUAACCGUA